AUUGAACGCUGGCGGCAGGCCUAACACAUGAAAGUCGAACGAGUGGCGGACGGGUGAGUAAUGUCUUGGAAACUGCCCGAUGGAGGGGGAUAACUACUGGAAACGGUAGCUAAUACCGCAUACCAUCGGAUGUGCCCAGAGGGGAUUAGCUAGUAGGUGGGGUAACGGCUCACCUAGGCGACGAUACCUAGCUGUGCUGAGAGGAUGACCAGCCACACUGUAACAGAUACACGGUCCAGACUCCUACGGGAGGCAGCAGUGGGGAAUAUUGCACAAUGGGCGCAAGCCGGAUGCAGCCAUGCCGAGUGUAUGAAGAAGGCCUUCGUGUUGUAAAGUACUUUCAGCGAGGAGGCGUUACUCGCAGAAGAAGCACCGGCUAACUCCGUGCCAGCAGCCGCGGUAAUAC
rnacentral:rRNA from 1 species